rnacentral:snRNA from 1 species
GUGCUCGCUUUGGCAGCACAUAUACUAAAAUUGGAACGAUACAGAGAAGAUUAGCAUGGCCCCUGCACAAGGAUGACACGCAAACUUGUGAAGCGUUCCAUAUUUUU